rnacentral:lncRNA from 1 species
GCCGCUAAAGUCAGAAGAGCUCAAGAAGCGGUUGUGGGUGCUAGGCCUUUCUCCGAGACUUUGGUUGAGGUCCUUUACAACAUCAAUGAGCAGCUUCAAACAGAUGACAUUGACGUUCCCCUCACGAAAGUAAGACCUGUCAAGAAAGUGGCUUUGGUGGUUGUCACCGGUGACCGUGGUCUUUGUGGCGGUUUUAACAACUACAUCCUCAAAAAAGCUGAGGCCAGGAUUAAAGAUUUGAAAGCUCUUGGCCUUGAUUACGUUGUUAUCAGUGUUGGCAAAAAGGGUAAUUCUUAUUUCCUCCGCAGGCCUUACAUUCCUGUAGAUAAGUUUCUUGAAGGAAGCAACCUGCCCACUGCUAAAGAUGCUCAGGCCAUUGCUGAUGAUGUCUUCUCGCUUUUCGUGAGUGAAGAGG